rnacentral:misc_RNA from 1 species
AACUUUCGACAAUGGAUCUCUUGGCUCUCGCAUCGAUGAAGCACGCAGCGAAAUGCUUAAAGUAAUGUGAAUGGCAGAAUUCAGUGAAUCAUCGAAUCUUUGAACGCACCUUGCGCUCCUUGGUAUUCCGAGGAGCAUGCCUGUUUGAGUGUCAUUAAAUUCUCAACCUUCCAGCUUGGUUAGGCUUGGAUGUGGGGGUUGUGGGCUUCAUUAAUGAGGUCAGCUCUCCUUAAAUGCAUUAGCGGAACUUUUGUGGACCGUCUAUUGGUGUGAUAAUUAUCUACGCCGUGGAUGUGAAGCAGCUUUAUGAAGUUCAGCUUCUAAUCGUCCAUUGACUUGGACAAUUUUUGACAAUUUGACCUCAAAUCAGGUAGGACUACCCGCUGAACUUAAGCAUAUCAAUAAGCGGAGGCU